AUGAAAUUAAAAUUAUUAAAUAUAAUUUUAUCAAUAAUAAAUAAACUUAAUAAUAAUAAUAAUAUUAUUAUUAAUAAUCUAUUAGAUUCAUUAAUAAAUAAGAAAUUAUUAUUAAAGAAUAUAUUAUUAGAUAUAAAUAAUAAAAAAAUAAAUAAUAUAAAAAGAAUAUUAAAUAAUAAUAAUAUAAAUAUUAAUAAUAAAUUACAACAUUUAAAUAAUAUAAAUAAUUGAAAUCUACAAAUUUAUAAUUAUAAUAAAAAUAUAGAAAUUAUAAAUACUAUAAAUGAUAAAUUAAUUAAUAAAUUAUUAUAUAAAAUAAUAACUUUAAAAUUAAAUAAUAUAAAUAUUAAUAAAAUUAUUAUAAGUAAACUUAUUAAUCAACAUAGUUUAAAUAAAUUAAAUAUUAAAUUUUAUUAUUAUAAUAAUGAUAUUAAUAAUAAUAAUAAUAAUAAUAAUAAUAAUUAUUAUAUAAAUAUAAUAAAUAAAUUAAUAAAUAUUAUAAAUAAUAAUAUAAAUAAUAAUUUAUGUAAUAUUUUAAGUUAUUAUUAUAAUAAAAAAGUAACUAUUGAACCUAUUAAAUUAUCAUAUAUUUAUUUAAAUAGUGAUAUUUUUAGUAAAUAUAUUAGUUUAAAUGAUAUAGAUAAAUAUAAUAAUGGUAUCUUAACUAAUUAUCAACGUAUAUUAAAUAAUAUUAUGCCUAAAUUAAAUGAUCAUAAUAUUUCUAUAAAUUAUAUUAAUAAUAUUAAUAAUAUUAAUAAUAAUAAAUAUAAUAAUAUAAUUAAUUUAUUAAAUAAUAAUAAUAAUAAUAAUAAUAUUAAUAAUAAUAAUUAUAAUAAUAAUAAUAAUAAUUAUAUUGGUAAUAUUAAUAAUAUUUAUAAUAAUAUAACUAUUGAUAAUAUUCCUAUAGAUAUUUUAAUAUAUAAAUAUUUAGUUGGUUGAUCUAUUAAAUUUAAAGGUAGAUUAAGUAAUAAUAAUGGUAGAACUAGUACACUUAAUUUAUUAAAUGGUACUUUUAAUAAUAAAAAAUAUUUAUGAAGUAAUAUUAAUAAUAAUUAUAAAUUAAAUUAUAUCCCUUCUAAUCAUAAUUUAUAUAAUAAUUCUAAUAUUAAUAAAAAUGGUAAAUAUAAUAUUAAAGUUAAAUUAAACUUUAUUUAA
rnacentral:rRNA from 1 species